GAUAAGUGCUGAAAGCAUCUAAGCACGAAACUUGCCCCGAGAUGAGUUCUCCCUGAGACUUUAGGUCUCCUGAAGGAACGUUGAAGACGACGACGUUGAUAGGCCGGGUGUGUAAGCGCAGCGAUGCGUUGAGCUAACCGGUACUAAUGAACCGUGAGGCUUAACCUU
rnacentral:rRNA from 1 species